rnacentral:rRNA from 1 species
AGAGUUUGAUCAUGGCUCAGGACGAACGCUGGCGGCGUGCCUAAUACAUGCAAGUAGAACGCUGAAGGAGGAGCUUGCUCUUCUGGAUGAGUUGCGAACGGGUGAGUAACGCGUAGGUAACCUGCCUGGUAGCGGGGGAUAACUAUUGGAAACGAUAGCUAAUACCGCAUAACAGUAGAUGUUGCAUGACAUUUGCUUAAAAGGUGCAAUUGCAUCACUACCAGAUGGACCUGCGUUGUAUUAGCUAGUUGGUGGGGUAACGGCUUACCAAGGCGACGAUACAUAGCCGACCUGAGAGGGUGAUCGGCCACACUGGGACUGAGACACGGCCCAGACUCCUACGGGAGGCAGCAGUAGGGAAUCUUCGGCAAUGGACGGAAGUCUGACCGAGCAACGCCGCGUGAGUGAAGAAGGUUUUCGGAUCGUAAAGCUCUGUUGUAAGAGAAGAACGAGUGUGAGAGUGGAAAGUUCACACUGUGACGGUAUCUUACCAGAAAGGGACGGCUAACUACGUGCCAGCCGCCGCGGUAAUUC